CUGAAGAUGAGUAACCCUCCUCUUUCUGUCUUCUCCUGCUGCUGUUUGUAGUUUCACUGCUGUGGUCUGUUCAGCUACAACGACUGGGAGAACAUCCCCGACUCCUGUGUGUGCAGCCAGGAGGAGGAGAAGGAGGGCAAGUGUCAGACUGUCGAAAACAACACUUUCAUGCUGCAGAGAAAGUCCGUCUACACUAAGACCUGCUUUCCCACCAUCAUGGACUACAUCCAGUUUCAUUACAACAUCAUACUUGUGAUCAGCUUCACUCCGGCUGUUCUAGCUCUGCUUGGCAUGAUUCUGUCCUCCAUCAUGAUCCACCAGCUGUAUUACCCCAACAGACCCACCAUCGUGGUCUCCAUGAUGCCACCAAAAUAUGAGGAACUGCACAACACCCCGGCAUACUAGCCAAAAAUUUCCUGCGUUCCAUCUCUGAACAGAGGUCGUAGCUUCCACCAGCUAUCAGCCAUCUUGAGAUCCCGGAGACCACUCACACCUGGACACGUGUAACCUGCUGUGUUUGUGGAAGACAGUGUUAAUGUUACUGAUUCGAUUUGUCACGCUAAUGUUAAAUGUACUUAAAAGAAAAGUCACAUUCCUUUGCUACCUCAUGUGAAGUUUGUUAGUAAUACAUUGAAUUCACUGAAGUUAUAUUUUGAAAAACUGAGAACUGCUGAUGCAGUUACUUGUAAAAAUGUUUAUAAAGGGAAAUAUUUUUGUACAUCGUUGUAUUUUUGGUGUUUUCUUUGUGUCAUAUUUGAUUCUUCUGAUGUAAACUUUAAAUCUAAAUGUUUUACAGGAUUAAAAGGUGACAAAAAAAAA